AUGAACGCUAGCUACAGGCUUAACACAUGCAAGUCGAGGGGCAGCAUGGUCUUAGCUUGCUAAGGCCGAUGGCGACCGGCGCACGGGUGAGUAACACGUAUCCAACCUGCCGUCUACUCUUGGACAGCCUUCUGAAAGGAAGAUUAAUACAAGAUGGCAUCAUGAGUCCGCAUGUUCACAUGAUUAAAGGUAUUCCGGUAGACGAUGGGGAUGCGUUCCAUUAGAUAGUAGGCGGGGUAACGGCCCACCUAGUCUUCGAUGGAUAGGGGUUCUGAGAGGAAGGUCCCCCACAUUGGAACUGAGACACGGUCCAAACUCCUACGGGAGGCAGCAGUGAGGAAUAUUGGUCAAUGGGCGAGAGCCUGAACCAGCCAAGUAGCGUGAAGGAUGACUGCCCUAUGGGUUGUAAACUUCUUUUAUAAAGGAAUAAAGUCGGGUAUGGAUACCCGUUUGCAUGUACUUUAUGAAUAAGGAUCGGCUAACUCCGUGCCAGCAGCCGCGGUAAUACGGAGGAUCCGAGCGUUAUCCGGAUUUAUUGGGUUUAAAGGGAGCGUAGAUGGAUGUUUAAGUCAGUUGUGAAAGUUUGCGGCUCAACCGUAAAAUUGCAGUUGAUACUGGAUAUCUUGAGUGCAGUUGAGGCAGGCGGAAUUCGUGGUGUAGCGGUGAAAUGCUUAGAUAUCACGAAGAACUCCGAUUGCGAAGGCAGCCUGCUAAGCUGCAACUGACAUUGAGGCUCGAAAGUGUGGGUAUCAAACAGGAUUAGAUACCCUGGUAGUCCACACGGUAAACGAUGAAUACUCGCUGUUUGCGAUAUACUGCAAGCGGCCAAGCGAAAGCGUUAAGUAUUCCACCUGGGGAGUACGCCGGCAACGGUGAAACUCAAAGGAAUUGACGGGGGCCCGCACAAGCGGAGGAACAUGUGGUUUAAUUCGAUGAUACGCGAGGAACCUUACCCGGGCUUAAAUUGCAGAUGAAUUACGGUGAAAGCCGUAAGCCGCAAGGCAUCUGUGAAGGUGCUGCAUGGUUGUCGUCAGCUCGUGCCGUGAGGUGUCGGCUUAAGUGCCAUAACGAGCGCAACCCUUGUUGUCAGUUACUAACAGGUUCCGCUGAGGACUCUGACAAGACUGCCAUCGUAAGAUGUGAGGAAGGUGGGGAUGACGUCAAAUCAGCACGGCCCUUACGUCCGGGGCUACACACGUGUUACAAUGGGGGGUACAGAGGGCCGCUACCACGCGAGUGGAUGCCAAUCCCCAAAACCUCUCUCAGUUCGGACUGGAGUCUGCAACCCGACUCCACGAAGCUGGAUUCGCUAGUAAUCGCGCAUCAGCCACGGCGCGGUGAAUACGUUCCCGGGCCUUGUACACACCGCCCGUCAAGCCAUGGGAGCCGGGGGUACCUGAAGUGCGUAACCGCGAGGAGCGCCCUAGGGUAAAACUGGUA
rnacentral:rRNA from 1 species